rnacentral:rRNA from 1 species
UACAGAGGGUGCGAGCGUUAAUCGGAAUUACUGGGCGUAAAGCGCACGUAGGCGGCUUGGUAUGUCGGGUGUGAAAUCCCCGGGCUCAACCUGGGAACUGCAUCCGAAACUGCCUUGCUCGAGUAUGGGAGAGGGAAGUGGAAUUUCCGGUGUAGCGGUGAAAUGCGUAGAUAUCGGGAGGAACACCAGUGGCGAAGGCGACUACCUGGCCUGUUCUUGACGCUGAGGCGCGAAAGCUAGGGGAGCAAACGGG